rnacentral:rRNA from 1 species
UACGAAGGGGGCUAGCGUUGCUCGGAAUUACUGGGCGUAAAGGGCGCGUAGGCGGACAGUUUAGUCAGAGGUGAAAGCCCAGGGCUCAACCUUGGAAUUGCCUUUGAUACUGGCUGUCUUGAGUUCGGGAGAGGUGAGUGGAAUGCCGAGUGUAGAGGUGAAAUUCGUAGAUAUUAGGAAGAACACCGGUGGCGAAGGCGGCCCACUGGAUCGGUACUGACGCUGAGGUGCGAAAGCGUGGGGGAGCAAACAGG